GAUGAACGCUAGCUACAGGCUUAACACAUGCAAGUCGAGGGGUAGCAGGGUAGCAAUACCGCUGACGACCGGCGCACGGGUGAGUAACACGUAUCCAACCUUCCCAUAACUCGGGGAUAGCCUUUCGAAAGAAAGAUUAAUACCCGAUAGUACUUUUUCAAGUCAUCUUGAGAAAGUUAAAGAUUCCUUGGUUAUGGCUGGGGAUGCAUUCCAUUAGAUAGUUGGUGAGGUAACGGCUCACCAAGUCUUCGAUGGAUAGGGGUUCUGAGAGGAAGGUCCCCCACAUUGGUACUGAGACACGGACCAAACUCCUACGGGAGGCAGCAGUGAGGAAUAUUGGUCAAUGGGCGAGAGCCUGAACCAGCCAAGUAGCGUGAAGGAUGAAGGUCCUAUGGAUUGUAAACUUCUUUUAGAGUAGAAUAAAGUGACCUACGUGUAGGUUUUUGUAUGUAUACUAUGAAUAAGGAUCGGCUAACUCCGUGCCAGCAGCCGCGGUAA
rnacentral:rRNA from 1 species